UCUACCUGAUUGAGAUGGGGAUUAAAAUGUCACCUCUAUGUGUAUCAGUGGGAAUGGAGAAGCAUAGAAGAAGAUAAGCUGGACACCACUCUGAGUCAACCGAACAGCCUGGGAGGCCAGCACAUUGACUGGAAAGUAAGUGAGAAUUGGCGGAGGUAGAGGUGGGUGGGUUCAGUUUCAGGGAAUCUUUAAAUCCUCCUAUCCCACACCUGUACAUGGCGAACAUUCAGUAAGUGUUUGCUGAAUGAAUGGAUACCUGCUCUGCAACAAGACAUGGACAAUUAAGUUCUGCUCUCAGGAAAUGGGAAGCAAGAAAACAGGGCUGCCCUGAAGAGCACAGAGGCUAGUGAGAAGGGCAAGCAGGCCCACUGAAAUAGGUCUCAUACAGCCUGAACUGUGCAAGGUAAAAUUCCUGACAUUCAAGGAGAUUUCCAGUUACUUGCCCAAGGCCACACAAUUAGUUACAAAAUCAACACCUCAAUCCCAAUGGUUUUUACUCUGAAGUAUAAUAAAGCUCGCUGUGUGCCAA